UUCACAAAGUAGAAUUUCUGGCUUUCACUCAGAUCUAGUUAACAGCAAAUUGCUGUCUCCUGGAGGAAAGCAAAGGGCAGGGAGGGAAGUUAGGCUUCCUAAACCAUGCUUUCUUUCUUAACAAGGCUAAAGACAAGUAUGCCCUUUGCCAGUCACUCAAUUCCUUGAUUUUUUUUUCACCUUUUUGGUUUCAUGCAUUUCAAACUUGGUUGCUUCAGAUGCAUGAUAUUUUUAUGCAUAUUGACAUGAAAGUUUAAGAACAAUUUUGGGGGUCAGGGACAACACCACAUUUAGCAUUAUAAAAAUUAUUAUUAUUAUUUUAAAACUUUUACCCAGUUGAAAUGACUACAGAUAAAGUAGAAAUUUCCUGUGAACGGAAGUCUUGCAAAGAAACUGAACUGUGAUUUGACUGAAUUAUAUUAUGACCCUUUGAAAACAGCAUUUGUGCUUCUGGGAAGUUACUAAGGAUUGUAUUAGGUCAGUGUUAUAAACAAAAUAGAAAACUAAUUUUAUAAUUUUGCUUCCAUGCUUAGGGUUAUAUAUAACAACAUUUACAAUUGUCUUCAUAAAUGAACUCACUCAGGUGGAAUACAUUUCAUUGUGGUGAAGAUUACAUUUUAUUUGGUAAUCACAUUUGUCUGAAAAGAAAAGUGAAGAUGCUCAUUCACAGUACUUGUUCUCUGGUGAGUAGCAUCCAUUUUGUUGGAUUCCAACACAGAUGAUGAUUAAUAGUACCAUCUUUUGACUUGAACUACAGCAGCCUUGGCAGCUUCCAAAAAUGAAGUUGUGGCAGUUUUUUUUCACACAGUUUCUCAACUUUGAAUGAAACUGGAUUAACUGAAGAAGAGAACCCUGAAGUGCUUUUCCUAGUUUCGGCUGCUUCAUUUUAAUACGUUUCCACUGGCAGAUUUGUACAAACCAAUGCAAUGAAAAAACUUUGAAAAUUCUGUUGUUGAGACUGUGCACUGCAGUAGUAAAAAAAAUACUGUUGGAUUGAAAAACAUUUUAAUGACCUUGCUUACACAGAUGUUCCACUUACAGUUUGUUGUUAAGGUGCCUUAAAGGUCAAGCCAUAGAAUCCACUGCUUCUGCUUUGGCCUCAUAUGGUAUGUCAAAAUUUUACACCACUAGAGAGAGCAAGGGAUGGGUUCCGCGCCAUUAGUCUCACUGUUUGAACUACCUACUAUGUACUUCGCUCUCCGAUUUCUCCGUAUCCAACAUGAAGCCAUGUUCUUGAACUCAUAUUUACAUACUAGAAUUUUGUUCAUGUAAAAUUGUAAUUUUUUUUGCAUUCCAAUAGUAAUUAAAAAAUA